UACGUAGGUGGCAAGCGUUGUCCGGAAUUACUGGGUGUAAAGCGCGUGUAGGCGGCAGACCAAGUCGGCGGUGAAAGCGCCCGGCUCAACUGGGCGAGGUCCGUGGAAACUGGUCAGCUGGAGGACGGUAGAGGCGAGUGGAAUUCCCGGUGUAGUGGUGAAAUGCGUAGAGAUCGGGAGGAACACCUGUGGCGAAGGCGGCCCCCUGGGCUAACACUGACGCUCAGGCACGAAAGCGUGGGGAGCAAACAGG
rnacentral:rRNA from 1 species